CCCUAAUUGUCCCCUAACCCUGUUGUGUGACGACUAGUCGUGCGUGCCCAGGCUCUCCAAAUAUUUCUACUACUACUGCCAAUAGGCACAAAACUAAUGUCAGUACCAGUAGGCUGUGUUGAGCGCGUCUGUGAUUUGGCACUAGUAGUAGUAGCACUAGUAUAAAGAAGCCCCCCGCCCGACCUACGCAGGCAUCCCACUCGCGCCAUCACCCGACGCAAAGACCACUCUCAGCCAGCCUCAAGGCGCGCGCAACGCCGCUCCUGCGCUUGCGUGGGUCGUCGGCAUGGACAAGCAGGAUGAGAGGAAGAAGCCCCACGGGAAAACAGACCCCAAGAGGGGCGACAUCAUGAAGCGGAUCAUAAAGGACCUCACCGGCGGCGGCAACGACGGCGGCGGCGGUGCCAGUGACGGUGGUGGUAACAGCGGCUCCGGCUCCACCCCCGCUGGCGCCGACUGACGCACAUGGCGCGUGCGUACCCAGUUACGACGGCAGGGGCGAGCGGUGAGCCCCCGUGAAUCCGUGAUGGUUUGUGUAGUUGUUGCUUUCUCGAAUCUGGUUAUCUGGCAAGGCUAGCUGCCGGCUGCGUAUCGUACGUUAGUGUAGGGGGCGGUCAGCGUUCGGAUGGCGGGAUGGGUGGUGUGCAAUUUAAGACUGUGCUGUGUAACACUUGUGCUCAAUAAUUGUGGAUGAUCAAAUCGAUGGGGCCGCACGCCCGCACCUAUUUGCGUCUCUCUCCUCUUUGCUGAAUCUCUCCUCGUUGUCGUUACUAUUCACGUGGUAAUUAUUAUAUUUUUUUUUUGUCUCCCCACGAACGGAUUAAUUCGUGCGUGUUAAUUGUAUCCUUGAGACUUUCAC
rnacentral:lncRNA from 1 species